rnacentral:rRNA from 1 species
AGCGAACGCUGGCGGCAGGCCUAACACAUGCAAGUCGAACGAACUCCUCGGAGUUAGUGGCGGACGGGUGAGUAACACGUGGGAACGUGCCUUUUGGUUCGGAAUAACUCAGGGAAACUUGUGCUAAUACCGAAUGUGCCCUUCGGGGGAAAGAUUUAUCGCCAUUAGAGCGGCCCGCGUCUGAUUAGCUAGUUGGUGAGGUAACGGCUCACCAAGGCGACGAUCAGUAGCUGGUCUGAGAGGAUGACCAGCCACACUGGGACUGAGACACGGCCCAGACUCCUACGGGAGGCAGCAGUGGGGAAUCUUGCGCAAUGGGCGAAAGCCUGACGCAGCCAUGCCGCGUGAAUGAUGAAGGUCUUAGGAUUGUAAAAUUCUUUCACCGGGGACGAUAAUGACGGUACCCGGAGAAGAAGCCCCGGCUAACUUCGUG